GUUUUGCAAAAGUAACCAGUAUCGUGUGUGCAUUGGAGAAUUGCAAAUUCUGGUUAUGAUGGUAUUGCAUUACUUCUAUCAUGUUUCAAAGAAUAUAUUAAUGUCAUUUAUCAUAAUGUUGAAGAUUAUAGAUUUAUGUACAAUGACAUUCCGUAUUGGAGGAUUAGUUACUAGCUUUAGCCUUUAUGGUAACAUUAAGAUGUUCUUCUGGAUAACAUGUGAGGAGAAAUGUGGAUCUAAU
rnacentral:misc_RNA from 1 species